rnacentral:rRNA from 1 species
ACGUUGGCGGCGUUGCUUACACAUGCAAGUCGAACGGUGAAGCCCUUCGGGGUGGAUCAGUGGCGAACGGGUGAGUACACGUGAGCAACCUGCCCUUGGCACUGGGAUAACCCCGGGAAACCGGGGCUAAUACCGGAUACGACCCGAGCGGGCAUCCGCCCGGGUGGAAAGAAUUUCGGCCAAGGAUGGGCUCGCGGCCUAUCAGCUUGUUGGUGGGGUAACGGCCCACCAAGGCGACGACGGGUAGCCGGCCUGAGAGGGCGACCGGCCACACUGGGACUGAGACACGGCCCAGACUCCUACGGAGGCAGCAGUGGGGAAUAUUGCGCAAUGGGCGAAAGCCUGACGCAGCAACGCCGCGUGAGGGAUGAAGGCCUUCGGGUUGUAAACCUCUUUCAGCAGGGAAGAAGCGAAAGUGACGGUACCUGCAGAAGAAGCACCGGCUAACUACGUGCCAGCAGCCGCGGUAAUACGUAGGGUGCAAGCGUUGUCCGGAAUUAUUGGGCGUAAAGAGCUCGUAGGCGGUUUGUCGCGUCUGCUGUGAAAAUUCGGGGCUCAACCCCGGACCUGCAGUGGGUACGGGCAGACUAGAGUGCGGCAGAGGAGACUGGAAUUCCUGGUGUAGCGGUGGAAUGCGCAGAUAUCAGGAGGAACACCAGUGGCGAAGGCGGGUCUCUGGGCCGCAACUGACGCUGAGGAGCGAAAGCAUGGGGAGCGAACAGGAUUAGAUACCCUGGUAGUCCAUGCCGUAAACGUUGGGCGCUAGGUGUGGGGCUCUUUCCACGAGUUCCGCGCCGCAGCUAACGCAUUAAGCGCCCCGCCUGGGGAGUACGGCCGCAAGGCUAAAACUCAAAGGAAUUGACGGGGGCCCGCACAAGCGGCGGAGCAUGCGGAUUAAUUCGAUGCAACGCGAAGAACCUUACCAAGGCUUGACAUACACCGGAAACUGUUGGAGACAGCAGCCCCGCAAGGUCGGUGUACAGGUGGUGCAUGGUUGUCGUCAGCUCGUGUCGUGAGAUGUUGGGUUAAGUCCCGCAACGAGCGCAACCCUCGUCCUAUGUUGCCAGCGGUUCGGCCGGGGACUCAUAGGAGACUGCCGGGGUCAACUCGGAGGAAGGUGGGGAUGAAGUCAAAUCAUCAUGCCCCUUAUGUCUUGGGCUUCACGCAUGCUACAAUGGCCGGUACAGAGGGCUGCGAUACCGCAAGGUGGAGCGAAUCCCAAAAAGCCGGUCUCAGUUCGGAUCGGGGUCUGCAACUCGAC